UUUGGUAAAUUCAUAUCCCUGUUCAAAGUGUCUUAAAGCAGUUUUAACUUAGUUUAAAUCCAAGUAUUGUAAAAGAUAUAUAUUAUAAACACACAAAAGCUGCAUAGUGGAAUUACUAGAACAGUCUAUUACAUUCAGGAUGCCAAGUACUCAAGUAUUAACAUGACUAGAUCAAUAUUUGACUGUCAAGGUUAAUGUUAAUUAGUUGGCUUAGUACAGUAGAUAUAGAACAAUGGCCUACAAUAUAAAUGCAUUGUUUUUUACAUUAAUACAAUUUAGAAGCAGUUAACUAAAUAGUGAUUAAAUUUGCAGUGCCAGUAUCUGUUUUGCAUGCCAUAGGUAAUAGGGCAAUUGCUGACACCUGAAUAAAAUUUUGACAUGCUAAUGUGAAACAGCAGAAAACAGAGAUACUGGAUGCAUUUCAGAGAUACUGAAUGCUUGCAGCUCCCAUGAACUUCAAUUAGAGUUUGGAAGGUCAACACCUUAAUUAUUCUUCAUAAAUAAACGAGAACGUCUUCCUGGCAAGGCAUGGAAAUUUCCGACAGCAAAAGGAUAUGAUUAUUAUAUGUCCCUCCUCCACCACCACAGGAAUCAGUGAACGAAAUACAAAGAAAGAUGCUAUCCCCAUGGCUCUUGCCAAAGGCUCCCCAAGAUACUCCCGCUCCAGAGGUCAGCCAGAGGGGCCUGGUGGAGGAAAUGGAGACAGAUGUGCCAAUGGCCCCUCCACGUGCAC